ensembl:snoRNA SNORA63 Small nucleolar RNA SNORA63
AAGGAGGAUUUAGAUUAUAAUACAGCUAUUAAGAACUGUGUUGUCCUUCCCACUGCUCAAAAUAAAGUUGUUUCUUAACUACACCUCUCUGUUAUACUCCUAUAGCAGCCAGGGAUGGUUGGUCACAUACAU